UGGGGAAUUUUGGACAAUGGGGGCAACCCUGAUCCAGCAAUGCCGCGUGAGUGAAGAAGGCCUUCGGGUUGUAAAGCUCUUUUGUCAGGGAAGAAACGGUAGUAGCGAAUAACUACUACUAAUGACGGUACCUGAAGAAUAAGCACCGGCUAACUACGUGCCAGCAGCCGCGGUAAUACGUAGGGUGCAAGCGUUAAUCGGAAUUACUGGGCGUAAAGCGUGCGCAGGCGGUUGUGUAAGUCAGAUGUGAAAUCCCCGGGCUCAACCUGGGAAUUGCAUUUGAGACUGCACGGCUAGAGUGUGUCAGAGGGGGGUAGAAUUCCACGUGUAGCAGUGAAAUGCGUAGAUAUGUGGAGGAAUACCGAUGGCGAAGGCAGCCCCCUGGGAUAACACUGACGCUCAUGCACGAAAGCGUGGGGAGCAAACAGGAUUAGAUACCCAGGUAGUCCCUGAGCGGGCUGGCAAGGCG
rnacentral:rRNA from 1 species